rnacentral:snRNA from 1 species
GUGCUUGCUUCGGCAGCACAUACACUAAAAUUGGAACGAUACAGAGAAGGUUAACAUGGCCCCUGCGUAAGGAUGACACGCAAAUUCGUGAAACACUCCAUAUUUUU